AUUCUACUCCCUCCGUUGCACAAUACAUGCCUUCUAUUUGUCAAAAUAUAUAUGUAUCUAGACAUGUUUUAGUAUAUAGGUACAUCCAUUUUUGGACAAAUGGAAGUCAAGUAUUUUGGAACGGAGGGAGUUCACA
rnacentral:pre_miRNA from 1 species